GAGGUCUUCCACUGCACCAAAGAGGCUGCCAGCAAGCAAAGUGACAGGAGAACCAUCCCGAUGCAACCAGAAAGGAGGAAAAGGCAGAAGAGCUUGUCCUUUUGAUCUGCGAGGAGUCAUCUGUCCUUGCUCUCAUUUGAUCCAGAGGGCUGGCCUAGAACCAGCGGGUGGAAAUGAUGGAGAAGCAGAUUUCUGCUAAACUUGAAAAGAAACGUAAGUUGCUCAAGGUGUGAAGAUCCAUUCAUUUGGCUCCAUUCUUUGGAAAGAGGGAUGUCUGAGAAAUCUAUUUCAGUCCAUUCUUCUCUGAAUUUACUCCGUUCACAUCCUUCAGACUGAGUGUGGAUGUGAACUCAGUCUGUGGGCAAGCCACAAAUUUCUGGGCAUUCAGUGUGAUUCAUGGACCCAAGGAAGUGUGUUUAUUUGAAAAAUGCACAUGCACAAUUCAUGCUUUUGCUAAAUGCACACAAAUACAUUAAUCAACCAAAGAACACACUCAUUUCAAAGA